CAGCCGCCGCGGGAAUACAGAGGGUGCGAGCGUUAAUCGGAUUUACUGGGCGUAAAGCGCACGUAGGCGGAUCGAUCAGUCAGGGGUGAAAUCCCAGAGCUCAACUCUGGAACUGCCUUUGAUACUGUCGAUCUGGAGUAUGGAAGAGGUGAGUGGAAUUCCGAGUGUAGAGGUGAAAUUCGUAGAUAUUCGGAGGAACACCAGUGGCGAAGGCGGCUCACUGGUCCAUUACUGACGCUGAGGUGCGAAAGCGUGGGGAGCAAACAGGAUUAGAUACCCCCGUAGUCCCUGUCUCUUAUAC
rnacentral:rRNA from 1 species